ACGCGAUGGAGGGGCUUUAGCUUGGCCAUUCCUCGCAAUUGGCGCAUCGCUUGAAAACCGGCGGUCAGCCUGCAGUGUACGCCGCCGGCGUGCUUUCUUGCCAGAGGUAGCAAACAGCAGUGCCACGACUAACAGUGGAGUGCGGACCAUGCAGUCCAGAAUGUGGCCGAGGCAAGCAUGCCAUAAGAGGUGCUUAUUCAGGCAGAACAAAUAAGCAUCUGUAGCCAACGUAAAGGAAGCAUCUUCAACUAGCAGUGCUACAAGGAUGUGA
rnacentral:lncRNA from 1 species